rnacentral:tRNA from 1 species
CAGGUGCCUGGUGACCAUGGUGUCGCUCGGCAGUUCGAGCUUGUCGCCGGCCUGCGCCAUCAGCUCGCGUGCCAGUUCGACGCGGUCGUUCUCGC